rnacentral:tRNA from 1 species
GCCUGGGCGGCUCAGUCGGUUGAGCGUCUGACUUUGGCUCAGGUCAUGAUCUCGUGGUUCAUGGGCUCGAGCCCCAUGUCGGGCU